GCGAGGUGCCCGAGCUCUAUGCGCUCUUUAGGCCGGCCGGCGGGAGGCAGCGGCAAGAGGCGCUUUUCCGGAGCGCCCGCUCGGCAGCAAGGCCUCGGACGGAGGCGAAAUAAAUAAUGCACGAAAAAGGAAAACAGACGUGAGCGGAGCCAGAGCCUCGCCCGCCUCCCGCCCGCGCUCCCCGCCGCCGCCGCCAGCGCCGCUGCAGUGAUUCCUCGUCUCCAUCUAGCGAGGCUAUUGUCCAAGACUAUCAACAAGUCGGUUGCGGGAAGGAGCCUGCUACGUCUCCAGCAGACAAGCUACUCCUCGCUUCCGAAGAAGCUUGGCAGGCGCGCUCUGGUCUUUCAGACCAACGUCUUGGCGACCUUCUUCAUGUCAGAGCCCCAGGACGCGAUAGAUACUCUUCUCCGUAGGACUCUAGGGAUCCGGAUCCGCCCCUCCACUGCACUGGGGAUGGAACUCAGUACCUUCUGCUUGGGAGGCAGGCGCGUUGCCACUGAGCUAAAUGCCUGGCCCUGCAUUAUCUAAUCUGGUCUUCAGCAUUCCUAUACUGGACCUCUAUGUACCAAUGCACCUCUUGAGAGUCACCUGGCCCUCAUCUUCCUGGCCCAUCCAACACUGCAGAAUGUCACAGCCUCCCUUAGGGUGAAGACAAGCUCCAUUGCAGAUCUCUCAUGCCACAGUAGGACCCAGGGAUGUGCUGGCUCCUCUCGCCCUUUCUGGGUAUAGAUGGUGACCCACACACUGUCACACAGGAUCUGCUUACAGAGGCCACUUGGCAGCUCUACUCAGAAAUGGAAAGGAGUUAAACUUUGGGGGAAAACUUUGGCCAAUGAAAGGCAGGAGAUGAAAGGAACCCAGCAUACGGAUUCCAGUGGUUCCAGUUGACCUGUCAGGAGGUGUCCAGUAGGUGAUUAAGCAACUGGCAAUGUUUUCUCCAGAUAUGUGGCCAGCUUGAUAAUUCACAACUUUGUAUUUGCUCCCCGCCUUACUACCACUUUUCCCUUGUUUUUCUUACCCUAGGAUUUUAUCCCUCA
rnacentral:lncRNA from 1 species